rnacentral:tRNA from 10 species
GCGGGCGUGGUGGAAUUGGUAGACACACCAGACUUAGGAUCUGGAGGCGAAAGCCAUGGGGGUUCGAGUCCCUUCGCCCGUACCA